rnacentral:sRNA from 1 species
CGCUAGCCCCGAUCGAAGUGAUAUCCUUUUUCCUGCUCCUUUAGCAGGAAAAAGAUUUAACGGAGAGCGGGACUAAAU